rnacentral:rRNA from 1 species
AAUGAACGUUGGCGGCGUGGAUUAGGCAUGCAAGUCGAGCGAGAACCGUAGCAAUACGGGGACAGCGGCGAAAGGGACAGUAAUGUGUAGGUACCUACCCCCGGGUUCGGGAUAGCUGCGGGAAACUGCAGGUAAUACCGAAUAAUGUCUUCGGACCAAAGGUGUGAUUCCACCUGGGGAGGGGCCUGCAUCCUAUUAGCUUGUUGGUGGGGUAACGGCUUACCAAGGCGACGAUGGGUAGCGGGUGUGAGAGCAUGACCCGCGUCAUUGGGACUGAGACACUGCCCAGACACCUACGGGUGGCUGCAGUCGAGGAUCUUCGGCAAUGGGCGCAAGCCUGACCGAGCGACGCCGCGUGCGGGAUGAAGGCCUUCGGGUUGUAAACCGCUGUCGUAGAGGAGGAAAUGCAGGAGGGUUCUCCCUUCUGUUUGACCUAUUCUAGGAGGAAGUACGGGCUAAGUUCGUGCCAGCCGCCGCAGUAA